rnacentral:rRNA from 2 species
UGGGGAAUAUUGGACAAUGGGCGCAAGCCUGAUCCAGCCAUGCCGCGUGAGUGAUGAAGGCCCUAGGGUUGUAAAGCUCUUUCACCGGUGAAGAUAAUGACGGUAACCGGAGAAGAAGCCCCGGCUAACUUCGUGCCAGCAGCCGCGGUAAUACGAAGGGGGCUAGCGUUGUUCGGAUUUACUGGGCGUAAAGCGCACGUAGGCGGACUUUUAAGUCAGGGGUGAAAUCCCGGGGCUCAACCCCGGAACUGCCUUUGAUACUGGAAGUCUUGAGUAUGGAAGAGGUGAGUGGAAUUGCGAGUGUAGAGGUGAAAUUCGUAGAUAUUCGCAGGAACACCAGUGGCGAAGGCGGCUCACUGGUCCAUUACUGACGCUGAGGUGCGAAAGCGUGGGGAGCAAACAGG